rnacentral:rRNA from 1 species
AAAGUUUGAUCCUGGCUCCAAACGAACGCUGGCGGCAGGCCUAGCACAUGCAAGUCGAGCGCUACCUUCGGGUGGAGCGGCGGACGGGUUAGUAACGCGUGGGAAUAUACCCUUUUCUAAGGAAUACCCUCUGGAAUCGGUGAGUAAUACCUUAUCCCCCCUUCGGGGGAAAGAUUUAUCGGUAAAGGAUUACCCCGCGUUAGAUUACAUAGUUGGUGGGGUAACGGCCUACCACGUCUACGAUCUAUAGCUGAUUUGAGAGGAUGAUCCCCAACGCUGGGACUGAUACACGGCCCAAACUCCUACGGGAGGCAGCGGUGGGGAAUCUUAAACAAUGGGCGCAUGCCUGAUCUACCCCUGCCGCGUGAGUGAUGAAGGCCCUAUGGUCGUAAAGCUCUUUCGCCAGGGAUGAUAAUGACAGUACCUGGUAAAGAAACCCCGGCUAACUCCGUGCCAGCAGCCGCGGUAAUACGGAGGGGGUUAGCGUUGUUCGGAAUUACUGGGCGUAAAGCGUACGUAGGCGGAUUACUAAGUUAGAGGUGAAAUCCCGGGGCUCAACCCCGGAACUGCCUUUAAUACUGCUAGUCUUGAGUUCGAGAGAGGUGAGUGGAAUUCCAAGUGUAGAGGUGAAAUUCGUAGAUAUUUGGAGGAACACCAGUGGCGAAGGCGGCUCACUGGCUCGAUACUGACGCUGAGGUACUAAAGUGUGCUGAGCAAACAGGAUUAGAUACCCUGAUAAUCCACACCGUAAACGAUGAAUGCCAGACGUUGGAUAGCUUGCUAUUCAGUGUCACACCUAACGGAGUAAGCAUUCCGCCUGGGGAGUACGGUCGCAAGAUUAAAACUCAAAGGAUUUG